UACGUAGGGGGCUAGCGUUGUCCGGAAUCAUUGGGCGUAAAGCGCGUGUAGGCGGUCCGGUAAGUCCGCUGUGAAAGUCGGGGGCUCAACCCUCGAAUGCCGGUGGAUACUGUCGGGCUAGAGUACGGAAGAGGCGACUGGAAUUCCUGGUGUAGCGGUGGAAUGCGCAGAUAAUCAGGAGGAACACCAAUAGCGAAGGCAGCUCGCUGGGACGGUAUUGACGCUAAGGCGCGAAAGCGUGGG
rnacentral:rRNA from 1 species